rnacentral:tRNA from 1 species
GGAGUUGUGCCUGAACGCCCAAGGACCACUUUGAUAGAGUGACUAAUGGGGGUUAAAAUCCCCCCGACUCCU